GACGAACGCUGGCGGCGUGCUUAACACAUGCAAGUCGAACGGAAAGGCCCUGCUUGCAGGGUACUCGAGUGGCGAACGGGUGAGUAACACGUGGGUGAUCUGCCCUGCACUUCGGGAUAAGCCUGGGAAACUGGGUCUAAUACCGGAUAUGACCUUCCAUGUAGUGUGGGGGGUGGAAAGAUUUAUCGGUGUUGGAUGAGCCCGCGGCCUAUCAGCUUGUUGGUGGGGUAAUGGCCUACCAAGGCGUCGACGGGUAGCCGGCCUGAGAGGGUGGACGGCCACAUUGGGACUGAGAUACGGCCCAGACUCCUACGGGAGGCAGCAGUGGGGAAUAUUGCACAAUGGGCGGAAGCCUUAUGCAGCGACGCCGCGUGGGGGAUGACGGCCUUCGGGUUGUAAACCUCUUUCGACAGGGACGAAGCUUCGGUGACGGUACCUGUAUAAGAAGCACCGGCUAACUACGUG
rnacentral:rRNA from 1 species